rnacentral:tRNA from 1 species
AGUGCUAUACUUUAAGGUAAAAGGUUAAGUUUGCAGCUUAUAAAUGGGGCUUUGCCUCUGGCGCUA